AUGAACGUAGCUGAACUGGCCUGAGCGCCGCAGUGCCAAUCUAGAGGUCGCGGGUUCGAAUCCCGCCGCUCUUC
rnacentral:tRNA from 1 species